GGGCCCGUAGCUCAGUUCGGAUAGAGCGGCUGGCUUCGGUUCCGUAAAACGGAGGAGAAACCAGCAAGUCGGGGGUUCAAAUCCCUCCGGGCCCG
rnacentral:tRNA from 1 species